GCUUAAAUAGUUAAAAUAAAACCCCGAUUUUGUAAAUCGAACCCAAGUCAUUUCAACUCCUUAAGCA
rnacentral:tRNA from 1 species